CGGAUAGAAGCCAUUAACAUUUCCCCGUCAGGUGGUAGCAUUGUGCCAAUCUCCAUUUCUAUUGGAUGACCCUAAUGUCGGGCUUUUAUUCCCAGCAGAUGUCAUUGCAAGAGCUAAACAUUAUCUUUCAUUGAAUUCGGGUGGUUUAGGUGCACAUAGUGAUUCUCGAGGACUUCCUGGAAUUAGGA